CUUAACACAUGCAAGUCGAGGGGCAGCAUGGUCUUAGCUUGCUAAGGCCGAUGGCGACCGGCGCACGGGUGAGUAACACGUAUCCAACCUGCCGUCUACUCUUGGACAGCCUUCUGAAAGGAAGAUUAAUACAAGAUGGCAUCAUGAGUUCACAUGUUCACAUGAUUAAAGGUAUUCCGGUAGACGAUGGGGAUGCGUUCCAUUAGAUAGUAGGCGGGGUAACGGCCCACCUAGUCUUCGAUGGAUAGGGGUUCUGAGAGGAAGGUCCCCCACAUUGGAACUGAGACACGGUCCAAACUCCUACGGGAGGCAGCAGUGAGGAAUAUUGGUCAAUGGGCGCAGGCCUGAACCAGCCAAGUAGCGUAAAGGAUGACUGCCCUAUGGGUUGUAAACUUCUUUUAUAAAGGAAUAAAGUCGGGUAUGUAUACCCGUUUGCAUGUACUUUAUGAAUAAGGAUCGGCUAACUCCGUGCCAGCAGCCGCGGUAAUACGGAGGAUCCGAGCGUUAUCCGGAUUUAUUGGGUUUAAAGGGAGCGUAGAUGGAUGUUUAAGUCAGUUGUGAAAGUUUGCGGCUCAACCGUAAAAUUGCAGUUGAUACUGGAUAUCUUGAGUGCAGUUGAGGCAGGCGGAAUUCGUGGUGUAGCGGUGAAAUGCUUAGAUAUCACGAAGAACUCCGAUUGCGAAGGCAGCCUGCUAAGCUGCAACUGACAUUG
rnacentral:rRNA from 1 species